GGUGAACGCUGGCGGCGUGCCUAAUACAUGCAAGUCGAGCGAAUGGAUUAAGAGCUUGCUCUUAUGAAGUUAGCGGCGGACGGGUGAGUAACACGUGGGUAACCUGCCCAUAAGACUGGGAUAACUCCGGGAAACCGGGGCUAAUACCGGAUAACAUUUUGAACCGCAUGGUUCGAAAUUGAAAGGCGGCUUCGGCUGUCACUUAUGGAUGGACCCGCGUCGCAUUAGCUAGUUGGUGAGGUAUCGGCUCACCAAGGCAACGAUGCGUAGCCGACCUGAGAGGGUGAGCGGCCACACUGGGACUGAGACACGGCCCAGACUCCUACGGGAGGCAGCAGUAGGGAAUCUUCCGCAAUGGACGAAAGUCUGACGGAGCAACGCCGCGUGAGUGAUGAAGGCUUUCGGGUCGUAAAACUCUGUUGUUGGGAAGAACAAGUGCUAGUUGAAUAAGCUGGCACCUUGACGGUACCUAACCAGAAAGCCACGGCUAACUACGUGCCAGCCGCCGCCGUAA
rnacentral:rRNA from 1 species